GUUCACUGAAAACUCUGACUUUGUUAACCCUGAAAUGAGGGAAACUCAGAGUUUUCCGUUUCACGAAGCGAGGUAACUUAACCCUGAGACAGAGGGGUAACUCUAGCCUGUUUCACAAAGAGGGGUAACUUCAACUCUCGGUCAGUUACCGCAGUAACAGACUCUAUGACUCUAACCUGGUCACCAGCAGGUUUAUCUGAGAAAACCUCCAGUUUCUCUCCGUCUCCGCCCUCUUUCAGCCACACGCUGUUUCAUUUCCUCAUUCAUUCAGUCAGUAAGCGAGCGAGUUUUGGCGUAGAACAGCUUUUAUUAACGAUCCAGUGGAUAAAGGAGCAGCAUUACUGCACAGAUAAUUAAAUAUUCGUCGGUAGAUUGUUAUCAGACCGAGCAUAAAUGUUCUCGCAUUUCCGGACAAUUAUCGGUUUGAGCGGUACCGUUUCGUAAUCGUUUCAAGUCCAUAAUCUACAUAAACAACCUAAUCCGUCCUUACAUUUACAUUACCAACCAGUCAUGCUCUCACAUCCAGCAGAUAUUGUGUGUUGCGCUGCGGUUCUUUGCAAAUGGAAGUUUUUAUAUGAUGUCAGAGAUGCAGAGUAAGACAACUGUAUGGAGGACAGUCAGAAAAGUUUUCCUGGCUCUGAAACGACUUUUACCAUCAUUGUGGUUUUCCUGGACAUAAACCUGUCAGAACAUCAAGGAGGAUCCACAGGAUUACAGGAUUUCCCAGUGUGAUUGGCUGCAUAGAUGCACACACAUCCCCAUCACAGCUCCCUCACAUCAUGAACAGGAAGUCCAUUCACAGCAUAAAUGUGCAGGUAGGCUACAGGUAGACUGACUACUGUUUCUAAAUGUUAAAGACUGCAUCAUAGUUCUACAUCUGUCAUUCUCUGCACUGUCCAGAUCAUAUGUGAUGCUGCAUACAUCAUUUCUAAUGUGGAGGCCACGUGGUCUGGGUCUGUUCAUGACUCCAGGAUUUAUGGAGAGUCUAACCUGAGCAACAGACUGCAGCGUGGAGAGUUUGAUGGCCUUCUGCUGGGUGACAGGGGUUACCAUGACAACCCAGGCUGAUGACCUCAUACCCUGACCCUGAACCAGGCCCCCAACAGAACUUCAACCGGACUCACUGCAGGACCAGAGCCCGGGUGGAGAUGACCAUAGGCCUGCUGAAAGCCCGUUUCCAGAGCCUACGUCUCCUCAGGGUGACCCCUGAGAGGGCCUGUGAUAUUACUGUGGCAUGUGUUGUUCUUCAUAAUAUUACCACUAUUAGAGGAGAGCAACACCCUGCCCUACAAACUGAAGACCCAGAUGAUGAGCCCAUCCACCUGCAGCUAUCCAGGACAGCAGAGCAGUCAGAGACACCGUAUGCAAGAAUCACUUUAGAGUUUAAGUCACCAUCAUCACCACCACAGCAAAUAAAGACAUGAUACACAUUUCAUUUGCUCUUCUUUAUGUCCUACAAAUAAAAGAUAGUUCAGUUCAUGUUCCAGUAGUUAACAUAAUUCUCCUGUGACCAUCACCACCUCUAACUUGUGCUCCAGUAUUUCAAUUUCCAGAUCUGCCCUCCUAAUCUGUUUUUUGGAUUUUUCUCAGCAAAUGCAGUUUGUAAAUCUGUUUUACUGAUAACUGGGAAUACAUAGAGGACAUUAAAUUAUACAGUUGCACAUGAA